UUAGGUGAUGGCAGCAUCAUGUCAGCCAAUGACCUUUUCCAGGAACCAACCAGAGCUAAUCAACGCCAGACCAGCUGUAGCUUCUGUGGAGAAAAAAAUAACUGAGCAAACAAGAAGCUUAGUUUCUAACUAUACUUUUUAGUUAGAAAAUAUUUUGUUUCUAACUAAGCUGGUUGUUUAGUUAGAAACACCAGAGCGCCACCUUCUGGCCUCUCUCCAGAUCAGUUCAGGUCAGAGAAUGGAACUGUUUCUGUCUUUGUUUUUUCCCCUCCGUGGGCUGCCACCUUAUCGUGGUGGAGGGGUUUGAGUGUCCCAGUGAUCCUAGGAGCCAUCGGAGGCUUCAUGGCUCUAUUUGGGUCGGGUCUGCCAGGACAAACUGGUCCUAGGUGAGGGAUAGGACCAAGAGCAGCCCAGAGAUCACUUAGACAUUUUUUAACUCAAACACGCAGCAGACCUCUGAUGGACGAGCCCAGCAGCUCUUCCACUGGGCUCAGCAGGUUUUCUGGAGGAAACCCUGAAAGCUUUUCCAGGGAGAGUUUCACCAGGUGUCCUACAGCAGAUUGAUGGUGAACCGAACUAGUGUGUCGCUACGACUCGCUCAUCUGAGGCACCAUUGAUGGAGGAGAUUUGAGACCAAACAGCUUGAAAAUGGCCUCACCUUUGGAGUUUGAGUCGCUACGUCACUUUGAGCCAAUGGACGCUGGAAGAGAGGAGACGCAGUGAGCUUCUCCUGCUGGGCAGAACUGAGAGAAGAAAAUGAAGAUUUAACUAUACAGUCCUGAUGAGAAGCAGCUUUUAGACCCAGAUGAACUCCAUCUAUACAUGCCUAGUUCCCUUCAUCCAUCCAUGGAUGAAUAAAUUUUUUCCAUUUUUUAAUUUUAUCUCCAGUGCUUAACAUUGUCCUUGAUGUUUAAGGUUAUAUAAGGUUAAAUUGUUAUCUGUAUCUGGAAUGUUUUACUUUAUCUCCAAUGUUUAAUGCAAAAAAGGAAACUUUUCUGGAGAUGAAAUUUGACAUCUGAUAAACAUUGCCAAUUAUGUUAAACAUCAAAGAUAACGGAAAGCAUUGUCCUUGAUUAAAUAAAAAAAAUCGGGGACAACGUUAAAUAUACUGGAUAUUAAAUGCUAAACAUCAGAGAUAAAGUUAAACAUCCUGGAUGGCAUUAAACAGCCACGAUAACGAUAACCAUUGGUGGCUGAAGCUUAACAUUGACAAUGUUAAACUUUGAAGAUAAACAUUGGGGGCAACUUUAUUUUCACACGAUUUAUUUGAAAUUUGAUUUCAAGUCUGAAAAUCUUGGACCCUUAAAGUUUUGUUUUGUACUGUUGUAACCAUUAAACAAUCUCCCUUUCAGUUCAGCCUUGUUAGUAGAGACACAUUGUUGAUGUUUCCAUCAUACAAUAACUUGCAAUUAAGUAUUUGCAAAGCUCAAUGUAAUUUUCACAGGUGGUGGAACAUUAUUGUCAACAGCUGCUGAAAGUAACUAGAAAAGUUACUUUUAAUGUAACUUAAUUACUUUUCAAAUCAAGUAAUUAGUAAUCCGAUUAAAGUUACUUUUGCAAAGUAACGAUGCCAUCACUGGUCGCCACAGAGACAUGAAGUUACUUGGAUCAUGUCCUUAUUUAGGUUUUAAUUCUUGAGAUCCGGCAGCCAAAGUCUAAAAAACUUCAAAUGCCUUUUGAAAAGCCUGAGGAAAGACAGAUUGAUGGAGUGAUUUAAAAUUUCUGCAGUUACAAGUAUGAAUGUGAACUGUUAAUUUUUUUUAUUCAGUAUCUGAUAUCUUUCUAUUGCCUUCUAAAGUAAUUACAAUUUAUUUAAUUAAAAGUGUUAUAAAUGCAAAGUGUCUAAAUAUAGAACUGUUUUCAUCAUGGUUAAGAGGAAGUAAAUUUAAAUUCAAGCUUAAAGUCAUUUAAGGCUUAAAUUCAAUAUUGUUGCAUCCUUUCUCAUGUAUUUUCCAGUGUCUGUGUGCUCCCACUUUUGCUAAAUUAAAUUAUAUUAAACAUGUGACUGUG